CUUCCAAGUAGAAAGAAGCAUAUGACUAUUCUACAUGAUGUUAGUGGAACCAUCGAGCCUUGCAAGGUGUGUCAGGGGAAGCCGGUCGCCUUGGGCCUCAGAUUUUAGAGGGCCUCAGAUUGUGAGGCCCAUAGGGGAUGGAGAAAGGUCAAAAGAAAAAAGAAAAAAGAAAAAAGAAAAAUAAGUUAGGGUAAGUUUCAGACGACACAAUCUGCCACGAAGUAGAAAGAAGCAUAUGCUAGUGGAAUCAUCAAGCCUUGCAGGUGAGUCUGUGCUAGGGCCGGCCCUGGCCCAAGGCGACAGCGUAGCCCUGGGCCUCAAAUUUUGAGGCCCAUAGGGGAUUAAAAAAAUAAAAAAUAAAAAAUAAAAAAAAGUUAGGGCAAGUUUCAGACGACACAAUCUGCUUCGACACUCCGCAGGGCUCGGCCUCCGCUAUCGCCUAAGGUCACAAGGAGUUUAACUAGCAAUCCUUCACUUGAAGACAUAUCUUUUAGACAUCUCAUGAGGUAUCUUUGUUUUUCUGUAAAUCAUAUUAUUGCAUAUUGAGCCAUUGAGGUAAUCUAUAUUUUCUUUCAGCAAAACAUUUUUUUUUAAAGUUUAGUUUUAUGUUGAUUGUGUUUCCUGUUAUUUAGAUUUAUAAGAUUUCAAGAUUUAUGACAAUUAUGUCUACAAGAAAAUUUGAAUCUGGGUAUGAAAAAAAAGAAAAAAGAAAAAAAAGAAUUGAUUCAAUCUCAAAAAGACGCUAUUCAUAAGUUUUUUAGGAACAAAGCACAAACUGAGAGUUUAGUUGAAGAUUUGGUGAAUGAAGAACAUAGGAAUGAAGAAAAUCUUAAUGAACAUGGAGAUUCAAUGAAUAGAAAUGAUGAGAGUUUAGUUGAAGAUUUGGUGAAUGAAGAAUAUAGAAAUGAAGAAAAUCUUAAUGAACAUGGAGAUUCAAUGAAUAGGAAUGAGAAUCAACAUUAGCACUUUAAUUGAUAAUUUUGCAGCUCAAAAUGCAAGACAAUCACAUUUACUUUAGGCUCCGUUCGGUAUGACGGAAGAAAAUUGGAUGGAAGGGAGAGAAGAAGGGAAUGAUGAGACAUCCCUAGGGAAGAGAUUAUGAACUUCCUUCAUUUUGUUUGGUUGGAUGGAAGAGACGAGAAGAACCUACCAAAUUCCUUUGUUUGUUACGAGAGAAGGAAAGAGAGAAUUUAAAAUUAUUUUUACCAUUAUACCCUUCUAUAUAAUAUCUACAAAAAAAGUUAAAAAACAAAAAAAAAAAAAAAAAAAAAACUUAAACAAGUACAUACCAUAUAACUAUAUUAUAACAUGUCAGUAUUUUCCAAACUCCAUAUCUCGACCAAAUAAGGGUUACAGAGGUCAGGCUCAAGGCAAGCGUGGGGUACAAAAGUUUGAGUUCUUUGUGUAGAUGUUAGGUAAUUGUGUUACAAAUUAAUGAUAGAUUGUCACUGUGAGGCAAUAGCAGAAGAUAUCUAAUUUUUUAUAUAUAAAAAAUAUACCAAAAUAAAUAUUGGCAGACGGAAAAAUGCUAGUUUAUGUGAAAUUAUUGGUAAAUUUUCAAAUUAUUAUUCCAACUGGAAGAUCAAAAGUCAAUGAUUUAUUGCUCUUUGAGGGUUUCAUUCUUUUUAUUUCAUCAAUUGAAAAGUUGUUUGUUCUCUUGAUGGGUUUAACAAGACAAUUAGUUACACGACAAGUUCUAUCCUCCCUCGAUCGUUUACUUAACUUGUAUGCAAAAGUAUAGAGUUUUCGAUUCCUUCAUUGGUGCGAUUCUGGAUGAUUGAGGGUGAAAACUUAGUAUAUCAGUAGCACAGAAAGUUAAACAUGAUCAUCAAUAACUUUGUAGAGUUGUUAGAGCAACCCACUCUGUACAACCAAUCGCCUAUAUAUAUUAUAACACAUGAAGCAAAUUUGCUUGUAAAUACAGUCGAUCUAUGUAUAUGUACAGAUCGAGAAAGAGCAAGAGAGAGUUUCUUAUGAGAGAUCGCCGGAGUUUGAUCGAGUUCAACGUGAAAGUGAGUUCUUCUUGAUAGGGUUUUGCGUGAGACGAGAUGCGUAGGGUUUAUUUUUUAAUAUUUGGGAAGGAUAAUCUUGUAAUAUAGUAUUUUAAUAAUAGCUCUGCUUGUUUUCUCUCGUGUCUUCCGCCCAAAUUUGGGCGGAUGAAAAUUUGUAAAGAAGGAGGGGGAUAAGCCAUCCCUCCUAUUGUCCUCUCUCUCCGUGUCUUCUUCCUACCGAACGAAGGAAUUUUGUUCCUUCCCUCCUAUUUUCCUUCCUUCCUACCGAACAGAGCAUUAAUGAAAAUUUCGCUUUUAUAAAUUUUUUUUUUUUUUU